GGUGAACCGACUUACACUCAUCAAGGCUGUGACAUGGCUAAAACGAUGCUUCGGCGUGUACAGACGGCGCUGUAACAACGGGCCGCCCCCGCCAGAGGACCCCUAACGCUGUUCUUCUAUGGUUUUACUGAGUAAACAUGCAAAUAAAUUAAAACUUUCAACAACGGAUCUCUUGGCUCUCGCAUCGAUGAAGAACGCAGCGAAAUGCGAUAAGUAAUGUGAAUUGCAGAAUUCAGCGAAUCAUCGAAUCUUUGAACGCUCAUUGCGCCCGCCACUAUUCUGGCGGGCAUGCCCGUUCGAGCGUCAUUACAACCCUCAGGACCCCGUGCCUGGCGUUGGGGAUCGGCGGAAGCCCCCUGUGUGCACACGCCGUCCCUCAAAUACAGUGGCGGUCUCGCCGCAGCUUCCAUUGCGUAGUAGCUAACACCUCGCAACUGGAGAGCGGCGCGGCCAUGCCGUAAAACACCCAACUUCUGAAUGUUGAUCUCGAAUCAGCUAGGAAUAUCCGCUAGCCCGGAGGAA
rnacentral:rRNA from 1 species